UAGAUAAAAAAUUUUCGCGCCUGCCCAUUCCACCUCACAGUCCCGCCAGUCCUAAUGUGUAAAAAUAAUCAAAAUACUUAAUUUAUCCCAUUAUUUUUCUCUCCUCCUCUCUCUCUGUUUUUUGUUUUUUUUUUCUUCUGUCAAAAUCAUUUUCCAAAGGUUGCAUCUCCAUUGCAAACCCACUUUCUUCCCUCAAAACCAGCUGCUCUCUGCAUCUCCAAAGGUGGUGGUCGCCGAUCGAUCUGCUGGUUGCCUUUUAAAGCUGUUCUCGUCCCUGGUCGUUGUCGUUUUGCAGACUUGUAACACAAAAUCAUCACAAUCUGCAGCCCCUUUUUUGCUAUCCUAUUUGGCCUCGCAACGCCUCCAAAAUUCGUAUCUCUGUUAGGGUCCAAGCUGCAAAACCUCCUGCCCGAGUGGAAGUGCCAAAAGUAGUGCCAAAAUUCAAUCCCUCGUUUCUUGGAUUCACCAAGACUGCUGAAAUUUGGAAUCCUAGAGCUUGUAUGAUUGGUCUUUUUGGAAUCUUCAUUGUAGAAUUGGCAUAGAGAAGUGGACUGGGUACAAGCUUCAGAGCCACAAUUAUGCGUUCCUGAACCAUUUCAAGGACAGCAUCCGAUUUGCAAAGCAAAAAUGUUAGAGGAGGGACUAUUAGCAAAGGAACUGCAGCUAUGGUUGCAACUAUGGGGAGGUUAAAGGUGGAACUAGAUUAUGCCACAGGGACGCCCACAAAUGACAAGAUUUCAAGUAAAUUAACAAGUGAAUGCGGUUAUCUAGUUAGAAAGCAUGCUCCUCUAGAAGUUCAGACAUGGAUGCAGAUUGAUGAGAAUGAAAGAAAAAGAAUCAGGGACCUUCUACAGGUUUUUCUAGUUUCUUUCAUAUUUAUACUAAAUACUAAAAUGUCAUCUAUAUAAGCUAAAACAAAUCUGUCAUGUUUCACCAUGCACCCAGCUGAACACUUGGUGUUUUUGGACCUAGUCAAUCUGUCAUGUUUCACCAUGCACACAGCUGAACACUUAGUGUUUUUGGAUCUAGUGGUAGACCUAUCAAUGACCCUAAACCUCAAUGUAUGAACUGGAUGGGAAUUUCAUACUUAGGAAGAGCCACUUCAAAUCUUUUGCUUGGAUUUAGGGUAUCAUGUAACGUUUAAGAACCAUAUCAAGUCUAAUAAUUUUAUGCAUUUAAUGCAAAUAUACAAACAAAUAUAAAGGUGUUAAGUAUUAUUUUAUCUUCAACAUUGACAAGCUUUGUAUUUUGCCCUGUAACUGAAUGAAAAAACUCCCAACAUUAGCCUAUGAAUAAGUGCAAUCUUUAAAAUUAGUCUAAUCAUGUAUUUUCUAUAAAGAAAUUUGAUGAAAUUAACAACACACACUGCCCAAAGAGAAAUAAACAGAAUCAAAAAGUUUUUAAUAUAGCAGUCCACCAUAUUAUUGCAAUCCAAUCAAAUUGUAGAACACCACAAUUUGCAAAAUCCAAUUCAUGAAUUCUAAUAAAUAAUAUAAACUAGUUUCAUAUACAUAUUUUCCUUUUUGCGGAAAUUCUUGUGGUCCUCUGAGACUCAAACUGAUGUUUCCUUGCCUUUUUUUCUUCUAUUUGGUCUGUAUGUAACAUGCCACCCCACUAGAAAAUUAAAUACAAAAGUAAAAACAUAAAAAAUUAUUACAAACGGCUUGCAUGAGAUAUAAUGCAUCUCAGCUUUUUGUUGAAGUUUGGAUCUCCUUUGGGUAGCAAAAAUACUAUGUGUGCAAGUUGAAAUAUAUAUGUGUGUGUGUAUAUAUAUAUAUAUAUAUAUGUUGAUUUACUAAAAUGUAUA